rnacentral:tRNA from 1 species
GCGGGUGUAGCCAAGUGGUAAGGCAAUGGAUUGUGACUUCAUUAUCGCGGGUUCAAUUCCCGUCAUUCGCC